UCGGGAAUUUUGGGCAAUGGGCGAAAGCCUGACGCAGCGACGCCGCGUGAGUGAUGAAGGCCUUCGGGUUGUAAAGCUCUGUGGGGAGAGAAGAAUAAGUGCGGGCUAAUACUCCGCAUGAUGACGGUAUCUCCUUAGCAAGCACCGGCUAACUCUGUGCCAGCAGCCGCGGUAAGACAGAGGGUGCAAACGUUGUUCGGAAUUACUGGGCGUAAAGCGAGUGUAGGCGGUUUGGUAAGUCGGAUGUGAAAGCCCCGGGCUCAACCCGGGAAGUGCACUCGAUACUGCCAAGCUAGAGUAUCGGAGAGGUUGGUGGAAUUCUCGGUGUAGAGGUGAAAUUCGUAGAUAUCGAGAGGAACACCGGUGGCGAAGGCGGCCAACUGGACGAAUACUGACGCUGAGACUCGAAAGCGUGGGGAGCAAACAGGAUUAGAUACCCAUGUAGUCCCUGAGCGGGCUGGCAAGGCGCAU
rnacentral:rRNA from 1 species